rnacentral:tRNA from 1 species
ACCUAGCUGGCUCAGUUGGUAGAGUAUGCACCUCUUGAUCGUGGGGUUGUGAGUUCAAGCCCCAUGUUGGGUA